GCGGGCGGGCCCUGCGGAGCCGGGGCCGGGGCUGGAGCUGCAGCUAGAUCCGCGGCGGCGGGGACGGCGGCUGCGCGAGGGCUGGCGCGGCCGCGGCACGGGGACCAUGCUCCCUUCUGGCUCGCUCCGCUCCGGGUACCGUCUGCUUUAGCUGCGAGGGAGGCGGGCUGCGGCGUGCAGCCAGGGGCGGGCGGAGCCAAUCACGGGCGCCCGAGUGGGCGGGGGCGGAGGGUAGGGGAGGCGGGGCGCCCCCGGCCGGGCGCCCAGCGCUGUUCCCGGGGCCCGAGGGAUACCCAGCAGCCGCGCGCCGGGCCCGGGAGGAGUGCUCGCGGGUGUGUCCGUCCGUCCGUCCGUCCGCCGCCCCCGCCCCCCUGCGGUGGCUCCCGGCUCGGCCCGCUCGGCGGCCGCGCCCGGCAGAUGCACGGCGCGUGGCACCGGCUCCUGGGCCCCAGCCUCCCGGCCCCGCCCGCCCAGGGUUGGCUGACGGGACCGAGGCGAGCUCGCCGUCCUCUCUCAACACCUGAGGAAACUGGCGGAAAAGUUUGAGAACGAAAAGUCCAAUCGUCUUUCAGCUUCCGCCCUCCCUAUGACACUCCAGCCACGACAAGACCAGGAGGCUGGAGUAAGGAAGAAGGAUACAACGGGACAAAGGAGAGAGUACCCCUGAGGCUGGGCAGGGGAGGAAGCAGAGAAAAGCAAGGGGUAAGCCUUGCCUGGCCUUCCUUGGCUCCUAGCAAAUCAGCAGGUGUCUCCUGCAUCUCUAAGAACCUUCCUGCACAUGGGCUAAGGAGAGAGUCCCAGGAUGGUGUAUGCUCAUUUGCCUCACUCACUUCCAUCAUGGCCAUGUAAGCAGUGCACAGAAGUGGGGGUGUGCCCAGGCCUCAAAUGUUUGGGCUUGUCCUCUGGUGCUCCUGCCUUCACCAUGAGAUAUGUAUACCUUGUGUGAGUCACAGUUCCACGAUGGAGAGAUACAUGGAGCAGACCUAACCCAAGCCUAGCUGAGUUCAGCCAACCUGCGGACCCAAGAGUGAAAAGAAAGAAAUGUCUCUUGUAAGCCACUGAGAUUUGGGGAUUAUUUGUUACACAGCAGUAUCACAGCCAAGCCUAACUAAUGAGUGUUCAUGGUUUUUUUUAUUGCAUGGAACUGCUCCAGUACUCAAGUCUGAGAUGCUCACUCUGAGGCAUAUCAUCAAGGAAUUGAGAUUUAGUGAGCAGUUUUUUCCCCCUCCAGACUCCUUUCCAUGACCUUUUCCUGGAAUGUGCAUCUCCUACAUUUAUAGGACAAUUAACCACAUGGAAGAAUUUUGCCUCCUCCCCAACAAGCCAUUCCACAGGUGCUCAGACCUGCCUGUCCCUGACAAGGGCUGUUCUUGUUGUGGUCAGACCUCAGCUUCUUGAGGACAAUGAUGAGGCUGGAGCUCAGAGAGAUGGAGGAGCCUCUGAAGCUGCAGCAGCCGGAGCAGAACGCACAGCUGCAGAGCCCUCUGGAAAGAACAGAGAAGAGAAGUGGACGUCGCAGACCUGAACGAGGAUGUUCUCUGUGAUGUCAGGUAAUGGGGACCCAGUGAUGAAUAGAGAUUCUUCAAGCUGCUCAGAGCCUAGCAGGGGACCUCGAGCCCUAAAGAAGCACAGGCGGAAGGAGGGUCAGUGGGCACAUCUGUGGAGACUGCACCCCUUGUUUCCUGGCACUGGAGGAGAUUAGUGAGGACACCUGGUUUCUUCUCAUUUUGCACAAAGAGAGAGAGAGGCUCAAGGGUUGUGGGCUCAGCGGCCGUGUGAUUGAUGACUGAGAAAAGCUGGGUUUUAAAAAAAUUCUUACAGAGGACUGCCCUCCCUAGACCCCUGUAGCUUUUCAGGGACACCUGACCUGUGGCCUUGACAGGAAUUCUAGGAGAAGUCAGGAAAGAAGAGGACAGGUUGACAGAUCCAAGCCACUGUCAUAUCCCUCCAGAGUGGCAAGCCUCUCUGUCACACAACAUGGUACUGGGCACACAUCAAGAUUUUCAUCAAUGGAAAGGGAGAUUGGUGUUGGAUGUGAACUAGAUGCAGUUUACAAAAACAGUUGGAUUAUGGCAAGACGACAUAAAGAUGACAAAAAAUGAGGCGCAGGAGAUGGAAGAAUAGGAAAGAUGAAUGGAACCAGGUGUGAGGUUGGUUCAAAAUACACAUCCCUUAAUGUCUCACUGAUUUUGCUAGAGAUGGGCUGUAUUGAUCUGAGUCUAAGCUUUUCAACAGCCAAGGCCAAGGCAAGCACAAUAAGUGGCAUGAGUCACAGCCCAAGAAAUAAAAGCGAACAGGAGUGGAGUUGGCACACACUCACACUGUGAGGCCAGGAUGCGAGGACACGGGACGAAGCAGAGUGGAAGCAUACCAGCGACACCGAAAUCGUGUCACAUUCUCGGAGUGAUGUUCUUCCUGGAUUCUUCCUUGAAAAGAAGCUUCAUCAGGCCCCAGCUGCUGACCUCAGCGGCACCUGGCACACAUCAGUAUGAAAUCCCCCUCCAUCUCCCCGCCCACCGAGUGUUUCUCUUUUGUCUCUGUUUAGACCAGGAGCACAACUCCUUGCUGUUCUAGAGAAGCUGUUCUGCAGAGCCCACUUGCUCCUCUCCAGAUACUCAGCUCUCAGAUGGACAGGCUUAAUCUGGGUCAAUUUAAGGGAUUUAGAGCAAUGCAUUUCCAUGGCAGGGACUACGUUGAGUUCACCAGAGCCUGUUUCCUUCCCUCCUGGGCACAUGAGUACUUUCCCCAGACUCCUCUGCAGCUGGGCAUGGCUUUGACACUCAGCCUGAGCAGAAGUGAUGUGUGUCACUUCUGGGCUGAAAUGGUUGGGAAGUAAAUACAUUCUCUCCAUAAUCCCUUUCCCCAUCCGCUGGCUGAGAGGAGAAGGCUAUAAGGACCCAGAGGAAGGUGGAGACACGGGGAGGAAGAAGCCCAGGCUACUGAGGGUCUGGUGGAAGACACCAGCCAGAAAACCUUCACUAGACCGUGAUAUGCACAAGGAACCAACUUCUAUGGUGUCAAGCCACUGAGAAUUCCGGAUUUGUCUGUUAGAGUAGCUAGCAUUAUUUUAACAAAUACAGUUCCCCUCGGGAAAUGCUCUCUAAAUAAAACUCCUCUCACCAAGAGGAACUGAGAGAUUUGAGUGACACCAAGUUCAAGGUUACAUUCUCUGACAACUGCUAAGAGUGCAAAUAUUCUCUGUUGCAGGGAAGUGGGUAGGUGCAAAACCUUAUGUUUUAAUAGUCACCCAAGGUGGGAAUAAGAUUAACACACUCUUGUCAAAAUUGUGUCACCUUACAAGAACUCCUGCCUGAAUAGAAAGCUCUCAUGUCUCCUUUUGGAGAUAACCCAGGCUGUACCUGUGGGUUAGACCAAGAUUCUCCUCAGAAAGUCAUUUUGUGUCUGCUUUAACACAUGGGAAAAAUGGUAACCAAAUCCACACGGUUUCAUAGAAUGUAAUCUUCUAUAGUAAUUUUAACCUGAAAAAAAUUUUAAACAGCUAUAACCCUCUGACUGCUGCAGCCCUUAAAAACAAAACAAAACUUGGACAGUGAACUUGGUCAAGUCCCCUUCUCACCCUAGGCUUUAGUUUCCAGGCAUGACCAAUGGCAACUGGAUGUGAUGGGCCAAAACUGCAAUUUAUAAUCUAUGUGUAUGAAUGCCAAACGAAAACUCUCUAUAGCACACACCAAUAGCAUAUUGAUAGUACAUACAAUUCUGUUCCCAUUAUCCUUACAGGAUGUAAGCGCUAAGCACCAGCUAUGGCGGCAGAACAAACAUUUCCAACUGCCACACCCAUCAUACAAGGCCAUGACCUGGGAGUGCUGUGAGAGGAGGGGCUUUGUCACUUCAUGAUUCACCCAUUGUCCAUCCUUCUCUGCUGGAGGACCUUGAAGGAGUCACAUGUGUCCAGUUAGGAGGAUGCUCCAGGAAGCCCCCAGGCAGUGCCUGUAAAACUUUCCAUGUGCCUGUGAAACACCUGGGCAUCAUGAUUCUGCAUUUCUAACCAACCUCCAUGAAGAAAUGUGUCUUGGCUAGAGGCCCAUGUUUCGUUCCAGCACAUCCUUUUUACCAAAAGAGCCGUCCCUGGAGCUGCCAACAGUGUUUACGAGAAAGCCAUCCAACAAUACUUUGGAUCUGGGAGCGUGGCCUGACCACGGACGUGGCCUUCCCCGCCCCGAGAACCAUCCAUCGGAAAGCCUGGCACACGGUAGAGUGUCUUUAUUUUUACUCCAAAAUGUAAAAAAUGUAAAGCUGGUUCCUUUCUUUCUUUCUUUUAACAGCUGGGAAAACUCCUGUCAGUGGAUGCAGUGUCCUUUCCAGAUUCAAUAUUGUGCAAACUGCAUAUCGGCAAAUGGAGUAAACAAAUAUGUCCAUGGUGCUUCCUGAUGCACAGAGAGAUGGGGCCGCCCCGAUACAGAGACGCAGACCUGCCGAUCGGCACGGGAGCUGCUGAAACUGCUCCUCCACCAGCUCUGCUACCAUCUCUCUCCUUCAGAACAGAGUCUGAGAGCCUGGGGUGAUGGGCCACUCGGAUGCCCAGCAGCCGGGGACCCCUGGAGUCACGCAGACCUAGGGUGGCCGCAGGUUGGAUGGGAGCUCUCAUUGGCUGCGGUGGGGACUCACCACCUGACCAGUCCUGCGCCUGCGCUAAAAGCCCCACCCUCUUCAGUCCCACCUGAACCGCAAGGCUCUCACCCCCAG